GCUCCUCUCUAAUUUGUUCAGACAUUGUGGUGUGUCUGGCCAUAUCAUUUGUCAUAGGUGUAAAAACAAUCACAACCAAAGCUUAAAGCUGUUGGGAUGAGCAGCUGCCUGGGAAUCACGCUCCUUCCUGCUCUUUCCAAAAAGCCAGGUGCCGCCGGCCAGCAUCCCGCUCCCUUUGACCCGCAGUCUGUGCGGGAAGUAGGCCCGGAGUGGUGCCAGCAGGAGGUGGCCUUAGAAAGGCGGAGACCCAAGGAGCAGAGUGAGUCGGCGUCCAGCUCCACCUGAAAGCGCCAUCUUGUCGCCACUUCCCUCAGGAGCAGCAUGCCCAGCCUCUUGCAUAGGAAGAAGUGGUAAGCUAAGGAGAGAAAUGCAGGGUUCCUAGUACACCAAUUUUCCAACUUUUUCAUCUUGGCCCUGCUUUAAAAUGAUGCAUCUACUGUCUUCAUGCCUCAGCACAGCAGAGAAAACCAUGCUGUGUUCCAGUUUACUUUGAAUGUUUCAGUGAAAAUGAUGAAGCUGAAAAAAUGACGGAGGCCCGUUUUACAUGGUCACCUGAAUGUGGAAAAGUUGAGUUGGAGCAAAACUGGCACGGCCAUACUGGAUGGACCUCAGCAUGACCAGGACACAUUUCAGCUCAAAUCCCCUGUGCCAAGAACACAUUCUGCCAAGGACCACCACCUCUUCCCACAACUAGAGCUGGCUUACCAGAGCACCGAUGGACUUGGAUACCUGAGAUAUCUGCUUGGGAUCCCACACUUUCAAGGUCUCUCCUCUGGCCUUCUUCUGGUUCUGCGACUCCUUACAGCGCUGGGAGUUGGUGAUGCCAACAGGACAUACGCUCCCAGAGCCUACCUCUCCCAGAUCACUUUAAAAGGCACCCAGGACCCCAGAAUUCUCAUCCUCAAAGGCAUGGAGCUCAGCUCUUGGCCCUCAACAAAUCUCUUCCCCAUAAAGAUCCUUUUGAGAGCUUAGGAUGUCCCCCGGAUGGUUUUGGUUGCAGAUUGUGGUGGUGGAGGGAGCUAUACAAUUUAAUCUAUUGCCAUUAAUUGGAUGCGCUAAUGGCAGAUUGGGUAGUGAUAAUGCCAUAAGAGGUAGUGUGUGAGCCGUGUGCUGCAUCUGUGCUAGCUCAGGUAAGUCAGCACACAGCACCUGCAGCCUCCUCUCACCUCUUCCCUGAGCAGCACCUUUUCACCUGAACAUGCUGAUCCCCUAGUGCUUCAUCUUGACAGCAACUUAACAAGCCCUGGGCAGCUUUUUAAAAUAAAUGACUAUGAUAUUGACUAUGAAUCUACAUAAAAGCCACUUGUUUUUUAGUCAUAAUCUGUGUCUAACUGCAGAAGAAAUUCACACCUUUGAAAAACAAAUAAAAAUGUAAAAAGUGAAAA
rnacentral:lncRNA from 1 species